rnacentral:rRNA from 1 species
UACGUAAGGGGCGAGCGUUGUUCGGAAUUAUUGGGCGUAAAGGGCGCGCAGGCGGCUUGAUAAGUCUGGUGUUUAAGACUACGGCUUAACCGUGGGGAAGCGCUGGAAACUGUCGGGCUUGAGUUCAGGAGGGGGAGCUGGAAUUCCAGGUGUAGGGGUGAAAUCUGUAGAGAUCUGGAAGAACACCGGUGGCGAAGGCGAGCUCCUGGCCAUGGACUGACGCUGAGGCGCGAAAGCGUGGGGAGCAAACAGGAUUAGAUACCCCCGUAGUCC